rnacentral:rRNA from 1 species
CAGUAGCCGCGGGAAAACGAAGGGGGCUAGCGUUGCUCGGAAUGACUGGGCGUAAAGGGCGCGUAGGCGGUUCGUACAGUUGGAUGUGAAAUUCCUGGGCUUAACCUGGGGGCUGCAUUCAAUACGUGCGGGCUUGAGUGUAGAAGAGGGUUGUGGAAUUCCCAGUGUAGAGGUGAAAUUCGUAGAUAUUGGGAAGAACACCGGUGGCGAAGGCGGCAACCUGGUCCAUAACUGACGCUGAGGCGCGAAAGCGUGGGGAACAAACAGGAUUAGAGACCCCCGUAGUCCCUGUCUCUUAUAA